rnacentral:rRNA from 1 species
GCCUACGGGGGGCAGCAGUGGGGAAUAUUGCGCAAUGGGCGGAAGCCUGACGCAGCGACGCCGCGUGAGGGAUGAAGGUCUUCGGAUCGUAAACCUCUGUCAGCAGGGAAGAACGGUCACUGUGCUAAUCAGCAGUGAAUUGACGGUACCUGCAAAGGAAGCACCGGCUAACUCCGUGCCAGCAGCCGCGGUAAUACGGAGGGUGCGAGCGUUAAUCGGAAUUACUGGGCGUAAAGCGCUCGUAGGCGGUAUGUCAAGUCAAGGGUGAAAUCCCCGCGCUCAACGUGGGAACUGCCAUUGAAACU